rnacentral:rRNA from 1 species
UCAAGUUAUUAAGGGUGCAGGGCGGAUGCCUUGGCACUAGGAGCCGAUGAAGGACGUGAUAAGCUGCGAUAAGCUUCGGGGAGUUGCACGUAAACUUUGAUCCGAAGAUUUCCGAAUGAGGAAACUCACUUAGAGUAAUGUCUAAGUAUCGUUAAGUGAAUACAUAGCUUAGCGAGGGGAACCCGGGGAACUGAAACAUCUAAGUACCCGGAGGAAGAGAAAGAAAUUCGAUUCCGUAAGUAGCGGCGAGCGAACGCGGAACAGGCCAAACCAAUGAAGUUUACUUUGUUGGGGUUGCGGACAUGUCAUUAACGAAGAGGUCAUCGUAGAUGAAGAGAGUUGGAAAGCUCCGCUAUAAAGUGUAAUAGCCACGUAGUUGAAACGAUAAUUCUUUAGAUAUGAUCCAGAGUACCACGGGACACGUGAAACCCUGUGGGAAGCAGGAGGGACCAUCCUCCAAGCCUAAAUACUACCUAGUGACCGAUAGCGCAUAGUACCGUGAGGGAAAGGUGAAAAGAACCCCGGGAGGGGAGUGAAAUAGAACCUGAAACCGUGUGCCUACAACCGGUCAAAGCCCCAUAUGAGGGUGAUGACGUGCUUUUUGUAGAACGAGCCAACGAGUUACGGUAUGUAGCAAGGUUAAGUACUUAAGGUACGGAGCCGAAGGGAAACCGAGUCUUAAUAGGGCGACUAGUUGCAUGCCGUAGACCCGAAACCGGGUGACCUAUCCAUGGCCAGGUUGAAGCGAGGGUAAAACCUCGUGGAGGACCGAACCACGUUGCUGUUGAAAAAGCAUGGGAUGAGCUGUGGAUAGCGGAGAAAUUCCAAUCGAACUCGGAGAUAGCUGGUUCUCCCCGAAAUAGCUUUAGGGCUAGCGUCGGAUAUGUGUAGUGGAGGUAGAGCACUGAAUGGGCUAGGGGGCAUAUCGCUUACCGAACCUUAUCAAACUCCGAAUGCCAUAUACAUUUAGUCCGGCAGUCAGACUACGAAUGAUAAGAUCCGUGGUCAAAAGGGAAACAGCCCAGAUCGUCAGCUAAGGUCCCAAAGUGUAAGUUAAGUGGAAAAGGAUGUGGGAUUUCUAAGACAACUAGGAUGUUGGCUUAGAAGCAGCCACUCAUUUAAAGAGUGCGUAAUAGCUCACUAGUCGAGAGAUCCUGCGCCGAAAAUGUCCGGGGCUAAAACUUACCACCGAAGCUACGGGCUUGCGUAAGCAAGCGGUAGGGGAGCGUCGUAAUCGGGCUGAAGUCGUACCGUAAGGAGCGGUGGACUGAUUACGAGUGAGAAUGUUGGCAUUAGUAGCGAGAUGUAGGUGAGAAUCCUACAGGCCGAAUAUCUAAGGUUUCCUCAGGAAGGCUCGUCCGCUGAGGGUUAGUCGGGACCUAAGCCGAGGCCGAAAGGCGUAGGCGAUGGACAACAGGUUGAUAUUCCUGUACCACUACCAUCGUUAUUAUCGAGGGUGUGACGGAGAAGGAUAGUGUGUGCUAGCGAUUGGAAAUGCUAGUCUAAGCGUUUAGGCAGUUACGGUAGGCAAAUCCGCUGUAAUGUUAAUGCUGAGGCGUGAUGGGGAAAGCCAUUUAGGCUGAAGUACAUGAUUCCAUGCUUCCAAGAAAAGCAUCUAGAGAGAGAAGUAGUGCCCGUACCGCAAACCGACACAGGUAGAUGAGGAGAGAAUCCUAAGGCCGGCGGAAGAAUUGCAGUUAAGGAACUAGGCAAAUUGACCCCGUAAGUUAGCGAGAAGGGGUGCCUACGAGAGUAGGCCGCAGAGAAUAGGCCCAAGCAACUGUUUAGCAAAAACACAGGUCUCUGCUAAAGCGCAAGCUGAUGUAUAGGGGCUGACGCCUGCCCGGUGCUGGAAGGUUAAGGGGAACACUUAGCGCAAGCGAAGGUGUGAACUUAAGCCCCAGUAAACGGCGGCCGUAACUAUAACGGUCCUAAGGUAGCGAAAUUCCUUGUC